UGGAUUCCGCCGCCGUGGAGGCGAUGAUCCGGUGCGCGAUCUGCGUGGUGAGGGCGAACUCGCCGGAUCGUUCACUGCCGAAAUCGCUGAAAUCUCCGGAGGAAUUCGCCGACGACUCCGAGAAGGUGCGAUCCAUAUACGUGUAGCUCUCCAUCAUCCCAUCUUCCAUUCUCUCCCGAUCCAACCCCUGUCGCUCCCCUGUGGAAGGAGAGGGAUGAGGAGGAGUAGGAAGAAGAAGAAGAAGAAGAAGAAAGGGAGCGGGUCAACUGCGGAGAUGAGGCUCAGAGCGAUGCUUUUCCUUUAGAACGGCGGAUUGUGGGCCCCCGAGACGCCGGCACGUGCAUCCGCCCCCCGUCGGCUGACUCGUAGUGGUGGGCGCACGUGCGGACCUACGUGGCCGUCGGCCGGAAGGGGGACACUACGGGAGUGGCGUUAAUAUCUGACGGUGCUGCACCGGUCGCGGCAUCAAGGCGCUGACCGCCGACAGACACGUGGAGACGCCGCAAUCACCCACCUGUACUGUACACUAGGUAUUAAAUGAGAGGAAUAUUUGAUAAUACACCCCCG
rnacentral:lncRNA from 1 species